GUAACGCCCUGCAUAAAUUGUUUGGCGGCGCCGAAAUUCUUCCUUUUCGCCUCGGAACUCCUGAGAGUGUGAACACAGACUUUUACAAUGAGGAUGUGAUGGUGUCAUUAUUUCGGCUUGCGGCAUUUGAUCCGGAGAUGUGAGGUACACAUGGAAGACUCCCAGUCAGCUGGGUGUCGUCAUCGCAUAGUCAACAUCCACCUCUGAUGGAAAGCUCAAUGUAAUGGUCGCGCUGAUGUAGGUCGGAGCCCUCGGCAUGGUGGAAUCGCCAAUAAAGGCGCCGUGCCGACGGACAGACGCGCCAGUUCGAAGCUUGCAAGAUUCCGCCUGGAUGGACACACGCGCCAGUCCAAAGCUUGCAAGAUGUGUAGCGCUGACGAACGUGAGCAGCUCCUUCUUGAUGUGAUGAGACCUGUCUCAUAAGUUCAUGGCUUAUUUGUCAUACUUGACUUGUUUGUCUUUCGGAUUUACCAUCAUCCUUACUUAACCCUGGAGGAAAAGGUUAUUUAUAUUUGUUUUAUAUAUACAUAUAUAACUUAAAAAAAUUAUUUACACUGAAUUUGAUGUCAUCUAUUCGUUCUCCACAUUAUUUAUUAUACAUUUCAUUGGCAAUUUCCCUGCUGUUAUUGUGCAAUGACGAUAAAGGAAGUGUAUUUAUUUCCGGUAACCAAGUGGAACACUUCUUUUAAAAUUCUAUUUGAUAUCCAAGAUGUGAUAUACAUCAGCUACAAUAUUUCAAUGUUUAUAUUUGAAACAUUUCCUUUUGUGAAUGAGAAUGUACUUUGAAUUAAAGAACACUAUAAAA